rnacentral:rRNA from 1 species
CAAGUCGCACGAGAAAGUGGAGCAAUCCAUGAGUACAGUGGCGCACGGGUGAGUAACACGUGAAUCAUCUACCUCCGAGUGGGGAAUAACCUAGAGAAAUCUGGGCUAAUACCGCAUAACACUUACGAGAUCAAAGCAGCAAUGCGCUUGGAGAGGAGUUCGCGGCCGAUUAGCUAGUUGGCGGGGUAAUGGCCAACCAAGGCGAUGAUCGGUAUCCGGCCUGAGAGGGCGCACGGACACACUGGAACUGAAACACGGUCCAGACUCCUACGGGAGGCAGCAGUGGGGAAUUUUGCGCAAUGGGGGAAACCCUGACGCAGCAACGCCGCGUGGAGGAUGAAAUCCCUUGGGAUGUAAACUCCUUUCGAUGGGGAAGAUUAUGACGGUACCCAUAGAAGAAGCCCCGGCUAACUUCGUGCCAGCAGCCGCGGUAAUACGAGGGGGGCAAGCGUUGUUCGGAAUUAUUGGGCGUAAAGGGUGCGUAGGCGGUCUGACAAGUCUGAUGUGAAAUCUAUGGGCUCAACCCAUAGUCUGCAUCGGAAACUGUCGGGCUUGAGUAUGGGAGAGGUGAGUGGAAUUUCCGGUGUAGCGGUGAAAUGCGUAGAUAUCGGAAGGAACACCUGUGGCGAAAGCGGCUCACUGGACCAUUACUGACGCUGAGGCACGAAAGCUAGGGGAGCAAAC